rnacentral:rRNA from 1 species
UUGAACGCUGGCGGCAUGCUUUACACAUGCAAGUCGAACGGCAGCGGGGGCUUCGGCCUGCCGGCGAGUGGCGAACGGGUGAGUAAUGCAUCGGAACGUACCCAGUCGUGGGGGAUAACUACGCGAAAGCGUAGCUAAUACCGCAUACGCCCUGAGGGGGAAAGCGGGGGACCUUCGGGCCUCGCGCGAUUGGAGCGGCUGAUGUCGGAUUAGCUAGUUGGUGGGGUAAAGGCUCACCAAGGCGACGAUCCGUAGCGGGUCUGAGAGGAUGAUCCGCCACACUGGGACUGAGACACGGCCCAGACUCCUACGGGAGGCAGCAGUGGGGAAUUUUGGACAAUGGGCGAAAGCCUGAUCCAGCCAUGCCGCGUGAGUGAAGAAGGCCUUCGGGUUGUAAAGCUCUUUCAGCCGGAAAGAAAUCGCGCAGGCUAAUACUCUGCGUGGAUGACGGUACCGGAAGAAGAAGCACCGGCUAACUACGU